rnacentral:rRNA from 1 species
UACGUAGGGUGCGAGCGUUGUCCGGAAUUAUUGGGCGUAAAGAGCUCGUAGGCGGUGUGUCACGUCGGCCGUGAAAACCUGGGGCUUAACUCUGGGCGUGCGGUCGAUACGGGCAUCACUGGAGUUCGGCAGGGGAGACUGGAAUUCCUGGUGUAGCGGUGAAAUGCGCAGAUAUCAGGAGGAACACCGGUGGCGAAGGCGGCGAUCUGGGUAGAUACUGACGCUGAGGUGCGAAAGCGUGGGGAGCAAACAGG